AAAAGCAGCCGACACG
rnacentral:sRNA from 1 species